AGCAGCCGCGGUAAUUCCAGCUCCAAUAGCGUAUAUUAAAGUUGUUGCAGUUAAAAAGCUCGUAGUUGAACUUCGGGGUCUACCCAUUGGUCAGGCUUAAUUGUCUGCACUGGUGAGAUGGAUCUCUACCUUCUGAGGAACUUUCAUGCCAUUUAUUUGGUGUGAUGGGAAAUCAGGACUGUUACUUUGAAAAAAUUAGAGUGUUUAAAGCAGACUAUCGUCUGAAUACAUUAGCAUGGAAUAAUGAAAUAGGACGGACUGAUUCUAUUUCGUUGGUUUCUAGGAUCACCGUAAUGAUUAAUAGGGAUAGUUGGGGGCAUUAGUAUUCAAUUGUCAGAGGUGAAAUUCUUGGAUUUAUUGAAGACUAACUACUGCGAAAGCAUUUGCCAAGGAUGUUUUCAUUAAUCAAGAACGAAGUUAGGGGAUCGAAGACGAUCAGAUACCGUCGUAGUCUUAACCAUAAACUAUGCCGACUAGGGAUCGGACGAAGUAAUUUUAUAAUGACGCGUUCGG
rnacentral:rRNA from 1 species